AAGGAUCCCAUCUUUCAAUCCUGACAACUACACCAUUACUUUUUUGCCUUUUCUGUUCUCUGUCUUUCUAUGUACGUUUAGUUUUUAAAUAUCAAAAAAUGUUGGGAACUUCGAUAAAUCCCAUAAAACCACCUUCUUCUUCUGCCUCCUGGAAUUGCUAUUAUUGGUCUUGUGAAACGAGAAUGGCCACGUUGUUGUCCUCCACCUCUUCAUUUGAUUAUUAUAACCACUCUCUUCACUUUCUUUUCUCUCCUUCCAAGUUACACUGCCCCAGAAUUUUGGUCUCCAAGCUUCCUGGACUCAGGUUCCGGGUCUCCUCACCAUCUAAAUCUCGAGUUUUUUGUGAAUCCAAGACACAGGAGGGCCAAAUUAGAAGAUGUUCACCUUUACUAGAAAAAGCAUCACUGCCAAGUAAUGGUGCACUUGCCUCUGAUGAAUGGAAAGCAGUCCCCGACAUUUGGAGGUCUUCAGCAGAAAAGCAUGGUGAUCGAGUAGCAGUGGUGGAUCCAUAUCAUGAUCCACCUUCUACCAUGACUUAUAAACAGUUGGAGCAGGAAAUAUUGGACUUCACUGAAGGUUUAAGGGUUAUUGGAGUUAACCCAGAAGAAAAGGUUGCACUUUUUGCUGAUAAUUCAUGCCGAUGGCUUGUUGCUGAUCAAGGUAUAAUGGCAAUGGGAGCAAUUAAUGUUGUCAGGGGGUCAAGAUCAGCUGUGGAAGAGCUUUUACAUAUAUAUAAUCAUUCGGAAAGUGUUGGGCUUGUUGUUGACAAUCCUGAAUUUUUCAAUCGUCUUGCCGGAACAUUUUCUUCCAAGUCAACCAUGAGAUUUCUUGUUCUACUUUGGGGGGAGAAAGCAUGGCUGUCCAAUGGUGAAACACACGGUGUGCCUAUAUUCAGUUAUAAGGAGAUCAUAGAGUUAGGAAGAGAGAGCCGUGUUGCUCAUAUUGGUUCUCACGAUGCUAGACAAGGUUGCAAAUAUGAAAUCAUUGGCUCAGAUGAUAUUGCUACUAUUGUAUAUACAAGCGGAACCACUGGUAACCCAAAAGGCGUUAUGCUUACACAUAAGAAUUUAUUACACCAGAUAGAAAACUUGUGGGAUGUUGUACCUGCUGAAGCUGGGGAUAGAUUUCUAAGCAUGCUUCCUACUUGGCACGUGUAUGAGCGAGCUUGCGAGUAUUUCACAUUUACACAUGGAAUUGAGCAAGUAUAUACAACCGUGAGAAAUUUGAAGGAUGAUUUGAGACAUUAUCAACCACAAUACCUGAUUUCUGUACCUUUAGUGUAUGAGACACUCUAUCGUGGGAUUCAAAAGCAGAUUUCAACAAGCUCCACUAUUCGUAAAUUAAUUGCAGUUUCAUUCAUAAAGGUCAGCUUGGCAUAUAUGGAAUUCAAGAGAAUUUACGAGGGACUAUACCUAACAAGGAAUACGGAGCAACCUUCAUAUCUUGCAUCCUUGUUAGACUGUUUAUGGGCGAGAAUUAUUGCUGCAAUAUUGUGGCCAUUGCAUGUGUUAGCAAAGAAGCUUGUCUAUCAAAAAAUUCACUCUGCUAUUGGAAUAUCAAAGGCUGGCAUAAAUGGGGGUGGAAGUUUGCCUAUGCAUCUGGACAAGUUUUUUGAGGCAAUUGGUGUAACAGUGCAGAAUGGAUACGGUUUAACAGAAUCAUCCCCUGUCGUUGCUUGUCGACGACCUUACUGUAAUGUUAUUGGUUCAAUUGGGCAUCCGAUUCAACACACAGAAUUCAAAGUUGUAGAUUCCGAAACUGGUGAGGUUCUCCCGCCUGGCACCAGAGGCAUUGUAAAGGUUAGGGGGCCACAAGUGAUGAAAGGUUACUAUAAGAAUCCUUUGGCUACUAAGCAAGCUCUAGAUGAAGAUGGUUGGCUAGACACUGGUGAUAUAGGUUGGAUUGCACCUUAUCAUUUGGCCGGGCGAAGUCAUCGUUGUGGAGGUGUGAUAGUUCUUGAAGGACGUGCCAAGGACACCAUUGUCCUUUCUUCCGGUGAAAAUGUUGAACCGUUAGAGAUUGAAGAAGCUGCCAUGAGGAGCAGUCUCAUUCAACAGAUUGUGGUCGUAGGACAGGACCAACGACGCCUUGCAGCUAUCAUUGUCCCGAACAAAGAUGAGGUACUUCAGGCUGCAAAAGUAUCCUCUAUCGUAGAUCCAGAUGCUGUAGAUCUUGGCAGGGACAAAAUGACAAGCCUGCUAUGUGAAGAAUUAAGCAAAUGGACCUCGGAGUGUUCAUUUCAAGUCGGACCAAUCCUUGUUGUGGAUGAACCUUUUACGAUUGAUAGCGGCUUAAUGACCCCAACCAUGAAAUUAAGAAGAGACCAAGUUGUAGCGAAAUACAAGGAGGAAAUAGCCAAUCUGUACAAGUAAAUUCCUUUUACAACAUAUGAUAUACUUGAAGACUAUAAUGACCAUUCUUAUGUGGGAUUCUCAAAAUUGAUGCAAAUAGCAAGGGGAUUAUAAAGAUGAAAUGAGAACUGGGUGUUUGGUUUCAAAAUGACCUACCUUUAGUACACACUUUGUGAUCUUUGGCGGAGACAAAUUGAUGGUGAACUACUGAAAUGUUAAAUUUGUAAUUAGUGGACUGAUUAAGCUGAGAUUUUACAGAAAGAAAGAUGUAUUAAAUGUAUCUUGCUAAAACAUAAUGAAAAUAAUAAAUUAAUUGUCAUCCUAUAA